rnacentral:lncRNA from 1 species
GCACACCAAGGAGCAAUCAAACCUAAAAGUUUAGGUACUGAGAUAAAUCUCUCUGAUGUCAUUACUGAUUUCGUUCCCCUCUCAACGGUUCAUGUCCAUGCAACCCAUAUAAGGAAGGAUAUAACAUCUACUUCGAGGAAAGGAAAUCCCUCUAAAUUAAGUACAUUUUCCUCUCCAUCCAUGACUGCUAGAAAUGUGAAAAAU